UACAGAGGUCUCAAGCGUUGUUCGGAUUCAUUGGGCGUAAAGGGUGCGUAGGCGGCGCGGUAAGUCGGGUGUGAAAUCUCGGAGCUUAACUUCGAAACUGCAUUCGAUACUGCCGUGCUUGAGGACUGGAGAGGAGACUGGAAUUUACGGUGUAGCGGUGAAAUGCGUAGAUAUCGUAAGGAAGACCAGUGGCGGAAGGCGGGUCUCUGGACAGUUCCUGACGCUGAGGCACGAAGGCCAGGGGAGCAAACGGG
rnacentral:rRNA from 1 species